UGGGGAAUAUUGGGCAAUGGGGGCAACCCUGACCCAGCGACGCCGCGUGGGGGAAGACGGCCUUCGGGUUGUAAACCUCUUUUGUACGGGAAGAAGGAAGUGACGGUACUGUACGAAUAAGUCCCGGCUAACUACGUGCCAGCAGCCGCGGUAAUACGUAGGGGACGAGCGUUGUCCGGAAUUACUGGGCGUAAAGGGCGCGCAGGCUGUGCUGCAAGUCAGCUGUUAAAUGUCUGGGCUUAACCCGGGCAUGCGGUUGAGACUGCAGUGCUGGAGUGCUGUAGAGGCAAGUGGAAUUCCCAGUGUAGCGGUGAAAUGCGUAGAUAUUGGGAAGACACCGGUGCGAAGGCGACUUGCUGGGCAGCAACUGACGCUGAGGCGCGAAAGCCAGGGGAGCAAACG
rnacentral:rRNA from 1 species